rnacentral:rRNA from 1 species
GGCGGCAGGCCUAACACAUGCAAGUCGAGCGCCCCGCAAGGGGAGCGGCAGACGGGAGAGUAACACGUGGGAACGUACCCUUCAGUUCGGAACAACCCAGGGAAACUUGGGCUAAUACCGAAUACGUCCGUAAGGAGAAAGAUUUAUCGCUGAAGGAUCGGCCCGCGUCUGAUUAGCUUGUUGGUGAGGUAACGGCUCACCAAGGCGACGAUCAGUAUCUGGUCUGAGAGGAUGAUCAGCCUCACUGGGACUGAGACACGGCCCAGACUCCUACGGGAGGCAGCAGUGGGGAAUAUUGGACUAUGGGCGCAAGCCUGAUCCAGCCAUGCCGCGUGGGUGAUGAAGGCCCUAGGGUUGUAAAGCCCUUUCGGCGGGGAAGAUAAUGACGGUACCCGCAGAAGAAGCCCCGGCUAACUUCGUGCCAGCAGCCGCGGUAAUACGAAAGGGGCUAGCGUUGCUCGGAAUCACUGGGCGUAAAGCGCACGUAGGCGGCUUUUUAAGUCGGGGGUGAAAUCCUGGAGCUCAACUCCAGAACUGCCUUCGAUACUGA